UUUAUACUGUUGCCAUGCCCAUCAAGGCCCUGAUUGGUGAACCGCUGACCCAUUCAUAGCUUAUAACAUACAGUAUUUUCAACUGACAAACAUGAUUACAUUUUCAUUUACCCUGAAAUGAUUAUUCAACAUGUCCUCUCCUGGGAUUUGAACUCACAACCACUUGGUUUGCGGUACUCCGAUCUUCCUGCUACGCCACCAUGACUGUGUAAGUUGUAGGCCCUAACAGCUUUAUGUAGGCCCUAACAGCUCUAAGUAGGCCCUGACAGCUUUAUGUCGGUCCUAACAGCUCUACGUAGGCCCUAACAGCUUUAUGUAGGCCCUAACAGCUUUAUGUCGGCCCUGACAGCUUUAUGUAGGCCCUAACAGCUUUAUGUCGGUCCUAACAGCUCUACGUAGGCCCUAACAGCUUUAUGUAGGCCCUGACAGCUUUAUGUCGGCCCUGACAGCUUUAUGUCGGUCCUAACAGCUCUACGUAGGCCCUAACAGCUUUAUGUAGGCCCUGACAGCUUUAUGUCGGCCCUAAUAGCUUUAUGUAGGCCCUAACAGCUCUACGUAGGCCCUAACAGCUUUAUGUAGGCCCUGACAGCUUUAUGUCGGCCCUAACAGCUUUAUGUAGGCCCUAACAGCUCUACGUAGGCCCUAACAGCUUUAUGUAGGCCCUGACAGCUUUAUGCAGGCCCUAACAGCUCUACGUAGGCCCUGACAGCUUUAUGUAGGCCCUAACAGCUCUACGUAGGCCCUGACAGCUUUAUGUCGGCCCUAACAGCUUUAUGUAGGCCCUAACAGCUCUACAUAGGCCCUGACAGCUUUAUGCAGGCCCUAACAGCUUUAUGUAGGCUCUAACAGCUUUAUGUUGGCCCUAACAGCUUUAUGUAGGCUCUAACAGCUUUAUGUUGGCUCUAACAGCUUUAUGUCGGCCCUAACAGCUUUAUGUAGGCCCUAACAGCUUUAUGUAGGCCCUAACAGCUCCAUGUAGGCCCUAACAGUUUGUGGGCACCGUUUGUCACCGUUAUAGUGUAAUUAAUGCAUUGUUUAGUGUUGUGUAGUGGCUUUGCUGGCAUGCAUCUAAAACAAUUUUUUGGGAGUUUGCCCCACCAAGAUUUACAUGCUAAAAUCGCCACUGAUUACCAUGUAUAUUAAACUAUGGUGAAUCGCUGUAUGUUUCAAUGCUGUAUGUACCAUCAGUGCCACAUCUGUUUUGAGCCCCACCUGUUUAGCAAAAACAAUAUAUAUGUUUUGCCUUUUUUUAAUGUUAUUUUAUCACAUAACAGUUUGCAAACAAUGUACAAAAGAAAGAGUUAAUAAAGACAUAAAUAAAUAAUAAAGACAAGACUCUUUGUUGAGUAAGGCUCCAACAUGCAGGUGUUUCAGCCCCGCUCAGGGCUUCCUGUGGUGGAGGGCAGCCAGCGGAUAAUGCGGAGCGCAAGGGUUGGUUAUGUUCUCUAGUUGACCCAUGAUAGGCUCAGUGUUCUGUCACUCAUGGGGACACAAAUUUUGAAUAAGAUUUUACCAACUUUACCAACACGUAUCCUUAGUUUUUGUCAAAAUUGCUCAAGCUCAGAAAACGGUGUUGGGAAUCAUUGGCAGACAGCAAUGUUCAAACCUUGUCUUUGAU
ensembl:lncRNA